GAGUUCUCAGUAUAUCAACAUAUCACCACAUGUGGGUGUUUACAAGGAGAUAAGGCAUCUGGCUCACAGACAAGUAAUGCUCCAUUCAGCAUCUGUUAUAGCAGAUAUAUAUAUUAUCCAUGAGACACAGUGCUGCACCUUUUGAAUGCUGUUAGAGAUGGUGAUCAUCUGAGUCCUAAGCACUGCACAGGUGCAGGGAGCCUGUUAAAGAGAGACCCCUGUGCCUAUUCUCCUUUUUCUGAUAUUCUUUGCGAAAAGUUGCGCGCGGGACAUUUGGUGCCGAGAACCCGGGACAAAAAGCCACAUCAUCGCCGGCGCUACGAGAAGCCUCCGUUUCACGGAAGAAAUCCAGAAGCUAAAUUCAUCAGCUCAUCCAAUUCAUAAAUUUCAAAGGAGAGAAAUACUUCCACCCAAGUCUAAGCAUAAAUGGAAGACUGUCAAAAUUCGUGAUGGGAAGAAACGUUCUUUCAGGGUGACAUCAAAUACCUCAGAAGGUUGUCAAGACUAUCUUCUGUGAUAUCAUCUUGACCACAGGAGUGAGCUUGUCAUCAUGUCAGUCACACUCUAUUAGGGACUUCCUCCAACCUGGAAACAGGUUGCUGUCCCUCAGGUCUUUGCCCACAGGGCAGUCAGCAGAGGUUGGGGACUACCUAGGAGAGAAUGCUGGACAAGAGACAUGAAAAAGGAUUCCAAGACAAGAGUCUGAUCAAGGCAACAACUUAUUUUUUCCCAAGGCUGAAUUUACCAUAUCAGUGGUAAAAGAGGGAAGUGGGAAGCAUGUACACAAGCCAAGGACAUAGUACAUUUGUGGUAAGCAGAUGUCACCAGGAUGUUAGUUUUUCACAAAGGUCACAGGUUUGUCAUAUCAUCAGUCAGUGAGAUGUUGGUUUCUCAGAAAGGUCACAGGUUUGUCAUAUCAUUAGUCAGCAGGAUGUUGGUUUCUCAGAAAGGUCACAGUUUUGUCAUAUCACUGGGCAUCCUGACCACCAGAUUUGUAUUAGUCUUCUGCAGCUGGCUGGGUAUUUUCCAUGAACCCAGUCAUACUUAACUAACUAUACUAUUAACGCCAAUAAUAGAGGGUUACAAGGGCAUCACUCCCAACAUCUCCCUCUUCCUUAUGGUCAAAUGAAAAGGUGACCAAUGGCUGCGCUGUCCUGAAAUGAGCCCCUCAGGAACUGUGUCUGUCUUAGGUUCGAGCGAUAUUUGUCACAUGGCCAAGAGAAUCUCGUGGACAGGGCCAGUUAUGGGAUAAGGCAGCGGCUAAUGGUGGCCCUCCUGUAUUAGGCCCUUUAUUCACGAAUAUAUCCCUCUCUUACCUGUCAUUGACUGUCAAGAUCCGCUCACAGGGGUUAUGAUUCAUUGAUGUUUCACCAAAGGCAUCAGGACAGCAGGCAGAAAAGAAUGUUGGCUUCAUUUGGCUCAAGGACAAAAAGAUCGUUGCCUGGGCUGGGAGGGGAUGUGUAGGUGAGCUUGGCCCUCACCAAAGGCAUUCUCCAUAGCUAGCCUAUAAAAAUAUACCUGAAUAGGUUUUGCUGCUAUAUUAUCUACAUGUUGUUUAAUAAAGCUGGUUAAAUGAUUAAA